GAACUCUGCGGCUGUGUAUUGACUUCCGUGAAGUGAACAAGAAAACCCUUCCUGAUCGCCAACCGAUUCCCAGAGUGCAAGACAUCAUGGAUGGCCUAGGUGGAAAUUCCUGGUUCUCUCUCUUAGAUCAAGGUAAAGCUUACCAUCAGGGCUUCAUGGCUAAAGAAAGCAGACCUAUGACAGCUUUUGUGACACCUUGGGGUCUUUAUGAAUGGAUUCGAAUACCCUUUGGUUUGAUGAAUGCCCCAGCUGCCUUCCAGCGAUGUAUGGAAGAAUGUUUGGAAGGGCUGCGUGAUGAGAUCUUCAUACCAUACCUGGAUGACACGCUUGUCUUUAGCAAAUCAUUUGAGGACCAUGUUGAGGAUGUGAGAACAGUGUUACAGCGACUACGUCAGCAUGGGAUAAAGUUGAAACCAAGGGAUCCAGCCAGAGUCAGUGGAUGAGAUGGUGGUUCGGAAACCAAAAUUGAAGUUGGUGUCAAAUCAGGUGUAAAAUCCACCUUGUAUGCAGCAUAUUCAGCUAGACAGGCUUGUCACCUUUGAUGUCCAGGGGGCCUUGGUAGUUCGUCAACAGGCAGCAAACUGCCCAUAGUUGGUUGAUGGAGCCGGCCAAGGAGAGAGGAACAACCCCAUCCCAGAUAUGGUAUUCCUUGACACGUCGUAUUAUCCUCUCCACCAACACUCUCAGGCAGGCAAUAGCUUGAGUUUUUCCAGUGUCUGAUGUGCUGAGCUGAGGGGCGGUUUUUAGUGGGGGGAUGAUCAGUGAUGCCCCUACCUCUGCCAGCAUAUCCUCAAUUAAAAACCCUUUGUCAUUUAUUAUAAGACAUUUGUUUUCUAUUGAACCCCGUGAAGUCAUGGAGUCUGUGGACAGUGUCAG